GACUUAAGCAUAUCAAUAAGCGGAGGAAAAGAAACUAACAAGGAUUCCCCUAGUAACUGCGAGUGAAGCGGGAAAAGCUCAAAUUUAAAAUCUGGCGGUUUUGCCGUCCGAGUUGUAGUCUGGAGAAGUGCUUUCCGCGCUGGACCGUGUACAAGUCUCUUGGAACAGAGCGUCAUAGAGGGUGAGAAUCCCGUCUUUGACACGGACUACCAGUGCUUUGUGAUGCGCUCUCAAAGAGUCGAGUUGUUUGGGAAUGCAGCUCAAAAUGGGUGGUGAAUUCCAUCUAAAGCUAAAUAUUGGCGAGAGACCGAUAGCGAACAAGUACCGUGAGGGAAAGAUGAAAAGCACUUUGGAAAGAGAGUUAAACAGUACGUGAAAUUGCUGAAAGGGAAACGCUUGAAGUCAGUCGCGUCGUCCGGAACUCAGCCUUGCUUUUGCUUGGUGCACUUUCCGGAAGACGGGUCAGCAUCGAUUUUGACCGUCGGAAAAGGGCCAGAGUAAUGUGGCACCUCCGGGUGUGUUAUAGACUUUGGUCUUACGACGGUUGGGAUCGAGGAACGCAGCGCGCCGCAAGGCAGGGGUUCGCCCACUUUCGCGCUUAGGAUGCUGGCAUAAUGGCUUUAAACGACCCGUCUUGAAACACGGACCAAGGAGUCUAACAUACCUGCGAGUGUUUGGGUGGAAAACCCGAGCGCGUAAUGAAAGUGAAAGUUGAGACCUCUGUCGUGGAGGGCAUCGACGCCCGGACCUGACGUUCUCUGACGGCUCCGCGGUAGAGCAUGUAUGUUGAGACCCGAAAGAUGGUGAACUAUGCCUGAAUAGGGUGAAGCCAGAGGAAACUCUGGUGGAGGCUCGUAGCGAUUCUGACGUGCAAAUCGAUCGUCAAAUUUGGGUAUAGGGGCGAAAGACUAAUCGAACCAUCUAGUAGCUGGUUCCUGCCGAGUCCCCCCCUCAGAUAUA
rnacentral:rRNA from 1 species